GCCAUUUUUAUAUUAAUAAGUGAUCAUUAGAUCAAUUUUACCAAAUGAAUACAUAAAAUUAAACAUUAAUGUAAUAUGUUUAAAAUUCAGAAAAACAUUUGUGGAACAUUUAAUAAAAACGAGCUCUUUUUACCGAGCCAAAUUCUGUCGAACGAGCGACAAACAAAUCUACAAAACAGACAAUUAUACACAUUAUAAUGGAAGAAAAUCACACUCACAUAUACUAUAAACUUUAGCACAUUAUAAACAUAAAAUUUUCUCCAAAUUUAGUUCAGCUUGUGAGUUCUUCCUCUUUGUGAGUUUCAAUGGUAACAUCAGACUGUGGAUAGGCAACACAAGUUAACACAUAUCCACUACUUAUUUGUUCAUCAUCAAGAAAGUUUCCAUCAGAUUGAUCAACACUUCCAGAUACAAUUUUACCAGCACAAGAUGAGCAAGAACCUGCCCUGCAUGAAUAAGGAAUUUCAUGUCCUUCUUCCUCAGCUUGAUCAAGAAUAUACACAUCAUCUGGACAAUCAAAUUCUACAGCUCCUGAAGGUGUGAUAAGUUUCACUUUGUAUGUAGCCAUACAAGUUAUUUUGCCACCAUUUGCAUAUUUAACCCCAAGGAUAGCUGGAAAUGCCUUGAAGCUCGUCACAACUGGUUUUCUUGGCAUGAAGGAGGUACUAAUUAUGGUGCCUGAAAUACUAGCCAUUUUUUUU
rnacentral:misc_RNA from 1 species